ACUCCUACGGGAGGCAGCAGUGAGGAAUAUUGGUCAAUGGACGCAAGUCUGAACCAGCCAUGUCGCGUGCAGGAAGACUGCCCUAUGGGUUGUAAAACUGCUUUUAUACGGGAAUAAAUGCCCUACGUGUAGGGAGUUGCAUGUACCGUAUGAAUAAGCACCGGCUAACUCCGUGCCAGCAGCCGCGGUAAUACGGAGGGUGCAAGCGUUAAUCGGAAUUACUGGGCGUAAAGCGCGUGUAGGUGGCUUGUUAAGCCAGAUGUGAAAGCCCCGGGCUCAACCUGGGAACUGCAUUUGGAACUGGCAGGCUAGAGUUUUGUAGAGGGUGGUAGAAUUUCAGGUGUAGCGGUGAAAUGCGUAGAGAUCUGAAGGAAUACCGGUGGCGAAGGCGACCACCUGGCCAAUAACUGACACUGAGACGCGAAGGCGUGGGUAGCAAACGGGAUUAGAUACCCUGGUAGGCUCUGCU
rnacentral:rRNA from 1 species